rnacentral:rRNA from 1 species
UACGAAGGGGGCGAGCGUUGUUCGGAAUUACUGGGCGUAAAGGGCGCGUAGGCGGCGCCGGAAGUCAGGCGUGAAAGCCCCGGGCUCAACCUGGGAGGUGCGCUUGGGACUCUGGUGCUGGAGUUCGGGAGAGGAGAGUGGAAUUCCCAGUGUAGAGGUGAAAUUCGUAGAUAUUGGGAAGAACACCGGUGGCGAAGGCGGCUCUCUGGACCGAGACUGACGCUGAGGCGCGAAAGCGUGGGGAGCAAACAGG